UGAGGAAUAUUGGUCAAUGGGCGCAAGCCUGAACCAGCCAUCCCGCGUGCAGGAAGACGGCGCUAUGCGUUGUAAACUGCUUUUCCAGGGAGAGAAACUUGCGCACGUGUUGCGCAAUUGACGGUACCCUGGGAAUAAGCAUCGGCUAACUCCGUGCCAGCAGCCGCGGUAAUACGGAGGAUGCGAGCGUUAUCCGGAUUCAUUGGGUUUAAAGGGUGCGUAGGCGGACUAUUAAGUCAGUGGUGAAAUCCUGCAGCUUAACUGCAGAACUGCCAUUGAUACUGAUAGACUUGAGUUUGGUUAAGGUAGGCGGAAUGUGUAAUGUAGCGGUGAAAUGCUUAGAUAUUACACAGAACACCAAUUGCGUAGGCAGCUUACUGAGCCGACACUGACGCUGAGGCACGAAAGCGUGGGGAUCGAACAGGAU
rnacentral:rRNA from 1 species